rnacentral:rRNA from 1 species
UACAGAGGUGGCAAGCGUUGUUCGGAAUUACUGGGCGUAAAGGGCGCGUAGGCGGUUCGUUAAGUCCUGUGUGAAAUCCCCCGGCUCAACUGGGGAACUGCACAGGAAACUAGCGGGCUUGAGUUCGGGAGAGGGAAGCGUAAUUCCGGGUGUAGCGGUGAAAUUCGUAGAUAUUCGGAAGAACACCAGUGGCGAAGGCGACUUACUGGACGACUGUUGACGCUGAGGUGCGAAAGCGUGGGGAGCAAACAGG